rnacentral:lncRNA from 1 species
GCGAGGCCGCCGGGGCGCGUGGACACGGUGUGCUCCUAGCGGGGAAAAUGGUUGUUGUUCGGGUGAAAGAAAAAUGUGCUUAGGAGAGGAUUUCAUGACUCGCCUGAGCCAGCGCAAUUCAUUUCGAGGUGACCAUUUAUUCCUGGCUCACAAGUUCGCAAGUCUUGUGAAAAACAAUCCCAUCGCACCGAGGAUACUCCAGGAUGGAGCGGAGGGCGAGAGUGCAGUCGUGUUAGUGAGAAAGAGCCCACCCGAUAUGCUCCUAUUGCACUUCUAUUGAAGAAUAAAAGGCUGCGGUCUCUCCAGACGAGAACUUGUCAGAUAUUUUAAAGUCUGGCUUUCAGUCCUUUCUGGUGAAUGCUCUGGUGGGUUCCCCUCAUUUCCCCCUCAUUUCAUGCCCCUAUGUGCUGCUACUGUUCCUCGCCCAUUACAUUCUAUUCUGUUCUCUGGAGCGGAAGCAGUAAGGGAGUGUCCACAUCCUGUUGCUUAUCCCCUCAUCUCUUCAGUGUACCUGUGAAGUUGGGGAACAUUUUGUAUAUGUUCCCUUGUUCCUCACUGCAGCUUUGUGAGGUGUUUACUUUCACACUGAUGGCUCCCCCGUCCUUGUUUCUCCAGGAAACAAGAGGUGGACAAACCAAAAAAAUAAAAUAAAAGAAAGAAAGAAAAAGGAAGAAAAAGAACCUCACUCCU